GGUGUACAGUGGAGUGUGUGGUGGAAAAACUCCAGAAGGGCAUUGCAGCUCCAAAAAGGCUGUGCUACAUGCUGGGGUUGAAAACAAACAAAGAGAGGUAGGAGGUCCAAGAACAAUAAGAAUGGGUUAAAGGAUGGAGGCCUGGAAGGGAGUGGGGGAAGGAGGAGAGAACAUCUAGAAGAAAUAGGGGAGGAGAGAAGAGAAAAGGGAGAAAUAGAAGAAAAAGAUUUAUUUUAGUAGAGAGGCUCUGGACUUACAAUCACAUUACAAGACUAAGUUCAAGUCUAGGUAUUGGCCUUCAACAAGCCUUUAAACUUCCCUAAGCUUCAGUUUUCUUAUCUGUAUAAUGCUACAGUGCAAUUGUAAGGAAACAAAAUUUACUUAUGUUCUGAGGACUUCAACCAAAAGAUCAGCAAUCCCUGCAAAGCAACAACUCUUCAAAAAAUGUAGGAAUUGAAAUGUUUUGCUAAGGUACAAAGAUUUAGAACUUCAAGGAACCUGAGAAGUAAUCUACUCCAUUCUCCUCAUUUGUAUGAUGAGGAAACUGGGAUCAAGAUACAUUACAUACUUAUGAAAGGUCACACAGAGAGGUAAGAUGCGAGGGUAUCUUCUUCCAGAGAAAAAAAGAAAAGAACAAGUCUUUAUGAAGUCAUACCACAUCUAAAGGAAUUCUCAGUAGUCUACCCUGAUGCUUGUAAACAGUACCAAGCUCACUCAGUUUCCAAAGCAAUGACUUUGUGAGUAGACUUCUGGAAGGGACCACAAGGGAAGUAAGUAAUUGGUUUACUCUGUUUCCAUGGAUGUGGAUGGAGUAAGACUGGGUUAAACCAACAAGUGUACAGGCAGAGAAUCUACCCAGUAUGUCUAUAGACUGAGGCAUAUUACUGGUGCUUUGGAGGAAAUCUUCUCUUGAACUUCAAGAACCUAUAAAUGCAGGGCCCAAGGUAGAAAUGGCUAGUGGGAGCUUUUACUUCUCUCCACAAUCCCAGUCUCUGUACUAUAUUUCUUAGAUCACCAAACCUGGGACCAAGAGAAACAAACAUAGAAUGAAUGUGAAAAUAGAGCCAUCUUCACCACAAUUCCUUAAAUGAGGACAUUUAGACUACCUUAACUUUUGGUCUCAAUUGUUCCCUCCCCAUUACUCAGAAAUAUUCUCAUCCAUCAACCCCAGCUGAGUUGUACAGCUGAACAGAAAUCACGACACAUCAGAGAAACCAAAAGAGUGUCAUCUCUGCUCUGGGAACCAGUCUCAUUCAGAUACAUUCAUAAUUUUAACAGAACUUUGCACAAUUUUGUUCCAUUUUAUUUUAAAUGAAUGAGUCAGAGCUGAAGCAACAUCAGGCAUUUGGUUGAAGUCUAAGGAAAGAAUAAGAAAGAUUUUUUUAACCAAUUGAACCAAAUCUAGAAUCCAAAGUUUGAAAGAAGAUUCAUGCUAACUCAAAAGUAGACAUUGAUUUCUAUCAAAUUAUAAAGUAAUAAAACCACAGGUUUGGAAUUUUGGAUUUGAAAUUAUCACUCUGUGACUGGAAGGAAAGCAGUCAAUUAGAUGAGAUUAACUGGAUCAGAAUGCAACUCAAUUUUAAAGUCUUACGUGCUACUUCUUUUUCCUCUGAAUAAUCCUAAUUGAAUAUAUCUUUGAAUUGUAAAUUGCAUUUUUCAGCAAUGGAACUGGAGAUUUUUUUUAAUAGUCUCCUCUGGAAGAAGGGUUUUAUUGAUUAGACUUUUAGGUUGUAAGGCAGUGAUUUUUUUUAAAAAAAAUGAUAGUGAUGGAGAUGGGAACAGACUUUUCCUACCAAUUUUUAAUUCUCAGAACUGGUGGGGGGAAGCUCAUUUAACCAUGACAACAGAGGUAUCUAU
ensembl:lncRNA